UCCAGACUCCUACGGGAGGCAGCAGUGGGGAAUAUUGCACAAUGGGGGGAACCCUGAUGCAGCGACGCCGCGUGGGUGAAGGAGCGUUUCGGCGCGUAAAGCCCUCUCGGCAGGGAAGAAGGAGGACGGUACCUGACUAAGAAGCCCCGGCUAACUACGUGCCAGCAGCCGCGGUAAUACGUAGGGGGCAAGCGUUAUCCGGAUUUACUGGGUGUAAAGGGGGCGCAGACGGCAGCGCAAGCCAGGAGUGAAAGCCCGGGGCCCAACCCCGGGACUGCUCUUGGAACUGCGCGGCUGGAGUGCAGGAGGGGCAGGCGGAAUUCCUGGUGUAGCGGUGAAAUGCGUAGAUAUCAGGAGGAACACCGGUGGCGAAGGCGGCCUGCUGGACUGCGACUGACGUUGAGGCCCGAAAGCGUGGGGAGCAAACAGGAUUAGAUACCCUGGUAAG
rnacentral:rRNA from 1 species